CCAUGACACAAGGAGUGGAGGAGGGGAUGAGAAUCAGUAUUUACAAAGACGCCACUCUGUGCUGGGCAUCUGGCACAGCACAUAUCCAUUGCAAGUCACGAGUGUAGAAGAACUCAGCUCCAUCUCUUGAUGAGUGGAGUGGCAUGGAUGUUCAGGAAGAGAAGAAAUUAACGGCAGCUGUCUUGGGAAGUGAUCUACCACAGAGCCACAGUGAGAUGUGCGUGCUGUGGGGAGUGAGGAGCGUGUACUGCAUGAAGAAACAGAGGUGGGGAAUACUGACUUUUACGUUCAUGAGGUUCUUGUUUUCCUUUCUGUAUCUAUUUGUCUCCCAGUCUAUAUCUAUCUGUCUACUGGAAAAGGACUAAAACAAACACAAUAGAGCGUGACUGGUUUCCUCUUUCCUUCUACCUUCACCUCCUCUUCUUUCUUUUUGCUGACCACCUCUCCUACCGCAUGAGCUUUGACUAGCCAAUAAACCGCAAGAAUUGAAUAAAUAGUUCUUGAAA
rnacentral:lncRNA from 1 species